UACACACACACACACAGGAUGAACAAAAACAGAAACGUGCUCUCUUAGGUUCCCCAAAUCACCAUCUUGAAUCUAGGGUUCUUAAAAAAAAAAAAAAAAAAAAAAUUAAUUCAAUUCUAACCCGCCAAAUCCGAAUUUUCUUCGAUACGGACCAACUGGCUUUCCUUGAGUCGGAUCCAUACUCGAAGCUCCAUUGUCGGAUUGUGCUCCAUCCCUCGGCCACCAGCAAGGUCGGAGUACAAGCUUCCUCAUCCGCCUCCGGAUCCGAACCUCCUACUACCGGGCAUUAAGAAAGUUUUUGUCAACCCAAGAAAUACUAGCAGUUAUUAAUUCUUUUAAGAAAUAGGUUGCUU
rnacentral:lncRNA from 1 species